UCUCUCAACCAACCGUACGAGCGCAGUUCAUUGAUCUUGACAGCGUUAAGAGGCGGGAGAAGCCCGUCACUGUGAUUUGCCGUUGAUUGAUCUUGGUCAUCGGCCACUUGCUCCACCAUUGCUUUGGUCAUCGAUUGACUUGAAAUCAAACAGAGGUCUCGUCUGGAUUGUCAAGAUCAAUUAUCUAGGUUGGGCUUAUUGUUGAUCUGUUUAAUGCGCGCUUGUGUUCUCCCGAUUGCCACCGACAACUCCACCUCUCUCUACCAGUUCAAUGUGUUCAACUCUUGCUGGUCGUAAGUUAGCUGCAGUUUGAUAGGUCACAUACCAAGACUAGUUUAGACCGGCUGCGAUGAGGCAUUGGUGACAUAACAACUCAAAUGUAGGGAAACUGGGGUAACAUAUUAUGCAGGAACAUGUUGUUGGAGCAAUACUCUUUGAGGUAUGCUUUCAAUGAUGAAAAGACUUCUUUUGUCCAAGCAAAUAUUGACUGAAAAGGUGUCAUCUCAUUUUAUUGGAGCGUACAUAUCAUGUGUUGAUUGUACAGGGAGAAAGGAAAGAAGAAGUUACUGAGAAGUUGUCAUCACAGGUCUUAGUGCGUCUUCCAAACUUUUUCGGCUGAAGGAAUGCACAAAUUUUAGGUUGAAGGAAGCUGGAUUAACUCGGUGAAUCAUUAUGUAGGGCAAUUUAUUUGUAUUUCGUAUGUACUUUUCGUGUCGAAAGAUAACUUGAA